UACGGAGGGGGCUAGCGUUGUUCGGAAUUACUGGGCGUAAAGCGCGCGUAGGCGGACCUGCAAGUCGGGGGUGAAAGCCCGAGGCUCAACCUCGGAACUGCCUUCGAUACCGCGGGUCUCGAGUCCGGGAGAGGUGAGUGGAAUUCCUAGUGUAGAGGUGAAAUUCGUAGAUAUUAGGAAGAACACCAGUGGCGAAGGCGGCUCACUGGCCCGGUACUGACGCUGAGGCGCGAAAGCUAGGGUAGCAAACGGG
rnacentral:rRNA from 1 species